rnacentral:rRNA from 1 species
GUUUCGGUGCGGGCUGGGAGACCGGUACCAAAUCGAGUCAAACUCUGAAUACCAGAUGUAUAGAUUGCCAGUGAGACGGUGGGGGAUAAGCUUCAUCGUCAAGAGGGAAACAGCCCAGACCAUCAGCUAAGGUCCCCAAAUAACACCUCAGUGAUAAAGGAGGUGGGAAUGCAGAGACAACCAGGAGGUUUGCCUAGAAGCAGCCAUCCUUAAAAGAGUGCGUAAUAGCUCACUGGUCAAGCGUUCCUGCGCCGAAAAUGAACGGGGCUAAGGUGUUUACCGAAGCUAUGGACUUAUAUUUCGAUAUGAGUGGUAGGGGAGCGUUCCAUUGUAGUGAGAAGCAUCAGCGGCAAGCAGGUGUGGACGAAGUGGAAGUGAGAAUGUCGGCUUGAGUAGCGCAAACAUUGGUGAGAAUCCAAUGCCCUGAAAUCCUAAGGGUUCCUCCGGAAGGCUCGUCCGCGGAGGGUGAGUCGGGGCCUAAGGCGAGGUCGAAAGACGUAGUCGAUGGACAACUGGUCAAAAUUCCAGUACUCGAUGUAAAUUGUGACGGGGGACGGAGAAGGCUAACACAGCCCCAUGUUGGUUAGGGGUUCAAGCUAACGAGGCGAUGAGAGGUGGCGGAAACACCUUGAGCUGAGUGGUGAGUACGAGAGUCUACGGACUUGAAGUGUGUGAGGUCAGGCUUCCUAGAAAAUCCCGGAUCACGUUAAUUUGCAUCACCCGUACCCGAAACCGACACAGGUAGGAUGGUUGAGAAAACUAAAGGGCGCGAGAUAACUCUCUCUAAGGAACUCGGCAAAAUGACCCCGUAACU